rnacentral:rRNA from 1 species
AUUGAACGCUGGCGGCAGGCCUAACACAUGCAAGUCGAGCGGAUGAAGGGAGCUUGCUCCUGGAUUCAGCGGCGGACGGGUGAGUAAUGCCUAGGAAUCUGCCUGGUAGUGGGGGAUAACGUCCGGAGACGGGCGCUAAUACCGCAUACGUCCUGAGGGAGAAAGUGGGGGAUCUUCGGACCUCACGCUAUCAGAUGAGCCUAGGUCGGAUUAGCUAGUUGGUGGGGUAAAGGCCUACCAAGGCGACGAUCCGUAACUGGUCUGAGAGGAUGAUCAGUCACACUGGAACUGAGACACGGUCCAGACUCCUACGGGAGGCAGCAGUGGGGAAUAUUGGACAAUGGGCGAAAGCCUGAUCCAGCCAUGCCGCGUGUGUGAAGAAGGUCUUCGGAUUGUAAAGCACUUUAAGUUGGGAGGAAGGGCAGUAAGUUAAUACCUUGCUGUUUUGACGUUACCGACAGAAUAAGCACCGGCUAACUUCGUG